AGAGUCGUGUGGCUCAGCAGAGGAUGCAAGAUCACCUUUCUGAACUCAGCUGCAUGGAGUCUGAACUUACUACUGAAAGGAAGGCUGAACACAAAAUUGAGAUGACUUCAACAAAUUCAGCAAAACAUGUAGGACUAAGGAUGAAGAUAGCCUUCUUCUUCCUUGACAAGGGAACUUCAAUCCAGGAUUACUCAUUUCAGUUUCCUCAUUGGACAUCUGAGGAAAAUGAUUCCCAGAGAGGUAAAUGGCAUGCCCGAGGUCACACAGCUGGCAAAGGAGCAGAAUAAAAUUUAUAAUUGAAUUGAGGGUUUUUAUACAAAAAUAUAGUUGAAUGUAACUAAAGAUGAAGUUUUUAAAUGUCACCACUAUGACUUACCUACACAUACCUGCUUAGAAUCUACGUAAGAGUGAAAAAGCUGGGUC